UUCGCAUUCGUAUCGUCGGUCUCACCCUCGCCCACGCGCGCGGCCCGCCCCCUCCACCUCGUCCCGCCGCCGCCGCCCCGCACCGCCGCUGCCCUCCAUGCGGCUCGCCGCGGUGAAGCGGAGGUCGGCCUUCACCGGCGGGGAGAGCUCGGCCGCAACUCCCGGCGGCGCGGCGGGCGGAGCUCGGCCGCGACUGACUCCUCCCCGGCCGAGCUCGGCCGCGACUCCCGUGCAGCAGACUCCCGACGGUGCAGCAGGCGGAGGACCCCGGCGGCGGCGGUGGCGGCCAACUGUCCUCCUCCUCUCCCUCGCGGCCGUGCGGCGAGCGGUCGGCGGCCGGGCCCGCGCCACGCUGCCAUGUAGCGGACGUCGUGGCGACGCGCGUGGCGCUGGAGUGGGCGCCAGUCACGCUACUGCUCGCCAACGGUGCCGCCUUGUGCCUCGCCGCAGCCGCCGUGCGCCUCCGCCUCGGCCCGCCCUGCCUCCUAAACACCCGCGUCCACCGCCUGCCCUUAUCCGCCUCCGCUCCGGCCGUCAAGGGGCGCAGCGCCCUGCGCCUACUCCUCUGCGACGGCGGUGGUGCUGCUGCUUCCCGAUCCAAAUAGGAUCGAACUCGCCCAGCUCAAAUCGAGUCCCUUGCCCUCUGAUUGAACUCUCCAAUUUAUCUUUUCUACUUCCCCUGCACUAGGAGCUCUUCCUGUACUUUUCCCCUUACUUCUUUUUUUUUAGAUCUGUUACUAACAGCUUUGUUUUGCACAGAUUCUACGCAUCCGGUAGCUGCGUGUUCGGGGUCCAUCCUCUUCAGUUAGCAUCAGCAGCAAAACAAGAUGCCAAGGAGAAUUGAUCCUUCCAGGAAUAUUGGUUUAGAACCUUCAAAUAACAGCACGCAUGAUACUAACACUAUGAGCUUUACCAAGUUACAGCACAACGUCGAGGUCACCUAUCAGCUACUGGCAUUAUUUCCACAUAGAAUAAAAACCAUUCAAGAUGCGAGAAUGGAAGUACAACACAACUGCCAGGCUGCUAAGAAGAUUGCUGAUGCAAAGCUUGCUACGGAUUUCCAAACAAUCCUCAAAGAAUUCCAGAAAGCUCAACGGUUAGCAGUAGAGAGAGAAGCUGCAUAUGCACCUUUUUUUUUCUCAAGCAGGUCUGCCAUAGAGGUAAUUUGAGGCAUAUAUUUUUCUGCUUUGUUGCUAUAGUGCAAGGGUUUUUUGUCCUUAUUCAAGAUGAAUUGAAUGCCAUGUAGUUGAUUCAUUAUCCAUUUCUAGCCUUCCUGGUAGUCCUGAAAAGUAGAAUGCCUACAAACUAUAUCAGCAUCUGUUAGAAUAACAAAAGUCCAAUGAACGAAAUGAUCACGAUUUUUGCCGGCCAGUUGUUAAGUGCAGUAAGAUUCCCAUUAACAUCGCAAAGAUGCAUAUAGGAAAUCGAGUUAAUUAUAAUAAACAGUUUGUGGUGGCUUUUAGGACUUAGUGUUCUCAACCAACUGUCCUCAGUUUUAUCAAUCCUGGCAUAUCUUCACACUUCCACAGCAUAUUUAAGGGGUAUUGUAAAUUCUGGUGCAAAGUUAUCCAACAAUUGAAAGCUAAUCCAACCUGCCAUAGAAAAGUUAUUUUGAUCCAAACACUCUUGAAAAAUUAUUUUGAAGCAGAAGGGCAUCUUUCUUUUGCUCCUGGCUUCUAGCAUUGCUUCUGUACAAGGAAGUCUCAUGUUUUCAGUUCGAGGCUUCAGAGUUAAUGGGAAUGACUCUUUGAAGGUAGGCUCUACUAAUUUAGCUUCUCUUCUAUAAAGAUUCUUAUAGCUAAUUGUACCUUUCUGUUUUAAUUAACCCACACCAUCUUAUAUUCAACUGCCAUGUGAACGCAUACAGCAUCGCAACCUGACAGGCCAUCUGACCAAGCAGAGCAUCUGAACCUCAUUGUUUGCCACCUCUUCUUUUGACUUCUUUGCUUCUCACCCUGCUAGCUUCCUGUCUGCUCUGACUUCUUUCCUCCUUUAUCAGAACAGAUCUGUGUGAACACCAGGAAAAGAUGCAAGACGCUGUGAAGUCUUGUCAGCAGAAGUACACAUUGCAUCAGCUUUAUACCUCAGCCCACCAUGGAAUCACCAACUUUAGGUUAACUACUUCCAUAUGUUACGCCGCCUGUACUGAUUUGAUGUUCUCCUUCGGCUUACAAGGAAGUAGGAGACAUCUACUUUGAUGACCAGUGUUUCAGAGCCAAAGGGCAGCAGAACAGACUCUUUUAAGGUAAGUUCAGGCUCUACUAAUUUAACUGCUCUUCGAGAAACAUUUGCUGCGGCUUUUAAAUAUCUCAUGACACCUCUGCAGCAGUGCCAUCAAAUGUUCUGAAAAAUGUGUGUGUGGGUGUUACUUAGUUUCCUAGAUUUGCUACUGAAUUCUAAUAUAGUUCACAAGGAACCAUGUAUUAUGGAGUAACAAACGUUGCGAGUCACUUUGGAGGUGGCUCUAUAGAUGUUCACCGCCAUAUCACAGCGGCCGUCCGACAGGCAUGAAGCUAAUUAUCAAGCCAUCUCCACCAAAGUUUAGCCUGUUGAACCGAGCAUUUAUAAUAUUUGUGCUAUGUAGUAGUACUUGCUGUUUUAGCUGUCCUCAUGUCAGAUGUUUUCUUACUUUAGUUGAACAACUGUAUGCUUAAAUUCCUAAUGCAAUUUAUCUGCGUGUUAAAUGUUCCUA